rnacentral:rRNA from 1 species
CUUUUUGUGACUUAGUGGCGGACGGGUGAGUAACGCGUGGGUAACCUGCCUCACACAGGGGGAUAACAGUUGGAAACGACCGCUAAUACCGCAUAACCCGCUAGGGCCGCAUGGCCCGGACGGAAAAGAUUUAUCGGUGUGAGAUGGACCCGCGUUGGAUUAGCUAGUUGGCAGGGUAACGGCCUACCAAGGCGACGAUCCAUAGCCGGCCUGAGAGGGUGAACGGCCACAUUGGGACUGAGACACGGCCCAA